UACCAGCCCCCCGAGUGGUCAGGACGAUUAUUGGGCCUAAAGCCUCCGUAGCCGGUUUUACAAGUCCUCCGUUAAAUCCAGCUGCUUAACAGAUGGGCUGCGGAGGAUACUAUAAGACUAGGAGGCAGGAGAGGCAAGCGGUACUCAGUGGGUAGGGGUAAAAUCCGUUGAUCCAUUGAAGACCACCAGUGGCGAAGGCGGCUUGCCAGAAUGCGCUCGACGGUGAGGGAUGAAAGCUGGGGGAGCAAACCGG
rnacentral:rRNA from 1 species